rnacentral:rRNA from 1 species
UACGGAGGGUGCAAGCGUUAAUCGGAAUUACUGGGCGUAAAGCGCGCGUAGGCGGUUUGUUAAGCUUGAUGUGAAAGCCCUGGGCUCAACCUAGGAAUUGCAUUGAGAACUGGCAAACUAGAGUACAGCAGAGGAUUUCGGAAUUUCUAGUGUAGCGGUGGAAUGCGUAGAUAUUAGAAGGAACAUCAAUGGCGAAGGCAGAUGUCUGGGCUGAUACUGACGCUGAGGUGCGAAAGCGUGGGGAGCAAACAGG